rnacentral:rRNA from 1 species
UUUAAUAUGAGAGUUUGAUCCUGGCUCAGGACGAACGCUGGCGGCGUGCCUAACACAUGCAAGUCGAGCGAGAAGAGCUCCUUCGGGAGUAAUUCUAGCGGCGGACGGGUGAGUAACACGUGGGCAACCUACCUUAGUGAGGGGGGAUAGCCUCCCGAAAGGGAGAUUAAUACCGCAUAACAUUAUUUUAUCGCAUGAUAGAAUAAUCAAAGGAGC